GAAAGAGAAAAAAACCUUGAGAAUAUGCCUUUUUUUUAUAAUUUUGAAAGAGAAAUGUAUUAGAAAACCAAAAUAUCGCAACACUUCAUUGUAGCCGACCCCAAAAAUAAACAAGCUGAGGCAGGUAGAGGCUCAAAGGGAGGUAGACAUGAGGAGUGAAGGUAAAGAAUUUGCAUUGAUGUUUAAGAUAAGAUAUUAUGCUUUAUUACCCUUGGCUGUUCUCCACAGCAUAUUGUUUAGCCUUGAAGCAGUUUUCAUAUAGGCCUCUCUGAUGUGAGUUUAAAAUGAGAUAGUUGAAAAAAAGUUGAAUCCAAAACUCAAAUUCCCAGAAUGUGUGACCAUAAAAUUUAAUUACACAAUGACAAAAGCAUGUUUAUGAAGAAACAGUAAAGGUAGUUAAAGGUAAAACAAAGGUUGAGUGUUAAAAAACACUCAACCUUUGUUUUAUCUUUAACAUAUUUCAUUCAAGAGAUGCUUGUGCAUGCAAUUUACCAGAAGUUGGAAGUACGUUUAGAUUUUUUUUUGGUGACAUUUGUGUUGCAUAUGUGCCACUAAAUCCAUUUGAAAGCAGAUUUUGAACUUGUUUUAGGAUCUUACAUGUACAGUUUUAAAGUUCUGAAAAUAUGUGGUCAAGUGUAGAAAACAAAAUGAAUUGGAUCGAUAGGAAAAAAAAAAGAUUUUCCCCUCCAGAUCAGAACUCAGUCUCUGAUGCCACUGGAGGGGAUGAAACAUCUUGCUGUGGAACCAGAGAAUGGCAGAUUGAUUAGAAUGUUAUCUGGAGAAAUGUGUCUUCUUCUUCGGUUUGUUGUGAUGAAAAAGAAAUACUGAGCCCAAAAGCAAGCUGUAAAUUUACUUAUCUGUCUCAGUUCAGACUCUUGCCUCGAGGUCACUCGAGGUAACCUAUAGAUCAUGAAUAAAAGAACAAGAUUCCGGCUACAAGAAGCUGAAAUUAGCUUUUUACACAAGGUGGCUGUGUUUGGUCAGGAGCUUCAUUAGGAUCUGCUACUCGAAAGGAGUCAACCCUCACUGAAGAGGUAGAUUUGGGCAUCUAAUUAGGAUGCCUUCUUGUGAAGACUUUUGGGCAUGUUCCAAAAAAAAAAAAAAAAAGGUUUCAAAAUGACCACUUAAUUGAUGACAGAUGGAUGUGUUCAUUCAAUUUCUGCUUUUUUGAGUUGAGGAUG